rnacentral:misc_RNA from 1 species
UCGUAACAAGGUUUCCGUAGGUGAACCUGCGGAAGGAUCAUUAAUUAUGUUAAAGCGCCUUACCUCUUAGGGUUUCCUCUGGGGUAAGUGAUUGCUUCUACACUGUGAAAAUUUGGCUGAGAGACUCAGACUGGUCAUGGGUAGACCUAUCUGGGGUUUGAUCGAUGCCACUCCUGGUUUCAGGAGCACCCUUCAUAAUAAACCUAGAAAUUCAGUAUUAUAAAGUUUAAUAAAAAACAACUUUUAACAAUGGAUCUCUUGGUUCUCGCAUCGAUGAAGAACGUAGCAAAGUGCGAUAACUAGUGUGAAUUGCAUAUUCAGUGAAUCAUCGAGUCUUUGAACGCAGCUUGCACUCUAUGGUUUUUCUAUAGAGUACGCCUGCUUCAGUAUCAUCACAAACCCACACAUAACAUUUGUUUAUGUGGUAAUGGGUCGCAUCGCUGUUUUAUUACAGUGAGCACCUAAAAUGUGUGUGAUUUUCUGUCUGGCUUGCUAGGCAGGAAUAUUACGCUGGUCUCAGGAUCUUUUUCUUUGGUUCGCCCAGGAAGUAAAGUACAAGAGUAUAAUCCAGCAACUUUCAAACUAUGAUCUGAAGUCAGGUGGGAUUACCCGCUGAACUUAAGCAUAUC